rnacentral:rRNA from 1 species
AGUAGGGGAUAACUCUGAGAAAUCGGAGCUAAUACCUUAUGUGGUCCUUCGCCGCAAGGUGAAGGACUAAAGCUUUCGGGCGCUUGGGGAGGGGCUUGCGUCCUAUCAGCUUGUUGGUAGGGUAACGGCUUACCAAGGCGACGACGGGUAGCUGGUCUGAGAGGAUGUCCAGCCACAUGGGGACUGAGACACGGUCCUGACUCCUACGGGAGGCAGCAGCAAGGAAUAUUGUGCAAUGGGCGAAAGCCUGACACAGCGACGCCGCGUGGGGGAAGAAGGCUUUCGGGUUGUAAACCCCUUUUCUCAGGGAAGAAUAAUGACGGUACCUGAGGAAUAAGUCUUGGCUAACUACGUGCCAGCAGCCGCGGUAAUACGUAGGAGGCAAGCGUUAUCCGGAUUUACUGGGCGUAAAGAGUGCGUAGGCGGUUUGGUAAGUCGGAUGUGAAAUCUCCCGGCUUAACCGGGAGGAGUCAUCCGAUACUGUUGAACUAGAGUGCAGCAGGGGGAAGUGGAAUUCCCGGUGUAGUGGUGAUAUGCGUAGAUAUCGGGAGGAACACCAGUGGCGAAGGCGGCUUCCUGGGCUGUUUCUGACGCUGAGGCUCGAAAGUGUGGGGAGCGAACAGGAUUAGAUACCCUGGUAGUCCACACUGUAAACGAUGGACACUAGGUAUGGGGAGUAUCGACCCUCUCUGUGCCGCAGUUAACGCUUUAAGUGUCCCGCCUGGGGACUACGGCCGCAAGGCUAAAACUCAAAGGAAUUGACGGGGGCCCGCACAAGCAGCGGAGCGUGU